ensembl:snoRNA
UGGUUCACUAGGGCUUGUGAGAGUUCAAUCUAAAAGCUCUAACCUCUUGAACCAAGAAGUGAUCUUUGUCAGAGCUGUAUGAUCAGACACUUUAAAGUGUGAUUUUUUUUUCCUAACAUUAGA